rnacentral:rRNA from 1 species
GACGAACGCUGGCGGCGUGCUUAACACAUGCAAGUCGAACGGAAAGGCCCUGCUUUUGUGGGGUGCUCGAGUGGCGAACGGGUGAGUAACACGUGAGUAACCUGCCCUUGACUUUGGGAUAACUUCAGGAAACUGGGGCUAAUACCGGAUAGGAGCUCCUGCUGCAUGGUGGGGGUUGGAAAGUUUCGGCGGUUGGGGAUGGACUCGCGGCUUAUCAGCUUGUUGGUGGGGUAGUGGCUUACCAAGGCUUUGACGGGUAGCCGGCCUGAGAGGGUGACCGGCCACAUUGGUACUGGGAUACGGCCCGGCCUCCUACGGGAGGCAGCAGUGGGGGUUAUUGCACAAUGGCCGGAAGCCUGAUGCAGCAACGCCGCGUGCGGGAUGACGGCCUUCGGGUUGUAACCGCUUUCGCCUGUGACGAAGCGUGAGUGACGGUAAUGGGGAAAGAAGCACCGGCUAACUACGU